GCCAGUGUGAUGUAGUGGUUUGAGUGUUGGACUAUGACUCUGGAGAUCAGGGUUCAAAUCCCUGCUCAACCA